rnacentral:rRNA from 1 species
UACGUAGGCAGCGAGCGUUGUUCGGAGUUACUGGGCGUAAAGGGUGUGUAGGCGGUUGUUUAAGGUUGGUGUGAAAUCUCCCGGCUCAACUGGGAGGGUGCGCCGAAUACUGAAUGACUAGAGUGCGGGAGAGGUGAGUGGAAUUCCUGGUGUAGCGGUGAAAUGCGUAGAUAUCAGGAGGAACACCGGUGGUGUAGACGGCUCACUGGACCGUAACUGACGCUGAGACACGAAAGCGUGGGUAGCAAACAGG